AUGAUAGCGACUGUUUAUAUGGAUGAAUAGAGAUGAUAGCGACUGUUUAUAUGGAUGAAUAGAGAUGAUAGCGACUGUUUUUAUGGAUGAAUAGAGAUGAUAGCGACUGUUUUUAUGGAUGAAUAGAGAUGAUAGCGACUGUUUUUAUGGAUGAAUAGAGAUGAUAGCGACUGUUUAUAUGGAUGAAUAGAGAUGAUAGCGACUGUUUAUAUGGAUGAAUAGAGAUGAUAGCGACUGUUUUUAUGGAUGAAUAGAGAUGAUAGCGACUGUUUAUAUGGAUGAAUAGAGAUGAUAGCGACUGUUUAUAUGGAUGAAUAGAGAUGAUAGCGACUGUUUAUAUGGAUGAAUAGAGAUGAUAGCGACUGUUUUUAUGGAUGAAUAGAGAUGAUAGCGACUGUUUAUAUGGAUGAAUAGAGAUGAUAGCGACUGUUUUUAUGGAUGAAUAGAGAUGAUAGCGACUGUUUAUAUGGAUGAAUAGAGAUGAUAGCGACUGUUUUUAUGGAUGAAUAGAGAUGAUAGCGACUGUUUAUAUGGAUGAAUAGAGAUGAUAGCGACUGUUUAUAUGGAUGAAUAGAGAUGAUAGCGACUGUUUUUAUGGAUGAAUAGAGAUGAUAGCGACUGUUUUUAUGGAUGAAUAGAGAUGAUAGCGACUGUUUUUAUGGAUGAAUAGAGAUGAUAGCGACUGUUUUUAUGGAUGAAUAGAGAUGAUAGCGACUGUUUUUAUGGAUGAAUAGAGAUGAUAGCGACUGUUUUUAUGGAUGAAUAGAGAUGAUAGCGACUGUUUUUAUGGAUGAAUAGAGAUGAUAGCGACUGUUUUUAUGGAUGAAUAGAGAUGAUAGCGACUGUUUUUAUGGAUGAAUAGAGAUGAUAGCGACUGUAAUUUAUAAACGUAACAAGAGUGCCAAUCAUAACAGUAGGAAUAAGUUUAAUAAGAGGCAAUACAGCAUACUUUUGAGUUGCCUUCAUACCCGUAAAUAUUAAAGAAAGAAAAGGAAGGUAGAAAAGAGAGAGAAAAUUAGACCUUACCUGCAGUCUCGCACAGGGCAGCCAAAGGUGUUUAUGGGCUAAUUAACAUCACGCUCCUACCUGUGUUAGUACCGCUACCCUUCCUGGGCCUUUAACUUGUAAAAAUAUAUUAAGUAAGAAAGUUAAAAAGAAAAUCGUGUGACCGUAAUUCCAGGAGUAAGAUAAUUAACAAAAGCUGAACAUGACAUUUCUUCUUUGUUAGUGUCCUUAUUUUUUACCUUUAAACCUGUAAGACCAUAUAGUAAAAUGAAUGAAAAAGAAAAGAAAAAGAGAAGAAAAAGAAAGAAAGGAAAGAAAAAAGUGGAAGAAAGAAAGAAAGAAAAGUGAAGGAGAGAAAGAAUGAAAGAAAGAGAAAGAGAAAAAGAAGAAUAGAAAGACAGAAAGGAAAAGAAAGGAAGAAAAAAAAGAAAGAAAAGAAAAAUUGAAGGAGAGAAAGAAUGAAAAAAAGAGAAAGAAAGAAAGAAAAAGAGACCGGCACACAGAAAGAAAGAAAAAGAAAAAUAGAAAGAAGGAAAGAGAAAAAAGCGAAAAAGAAAGAAAAAGAAAGGUAAAAAAGAAAGUAAGAAAGAAUAAAAAGAAAAGUUAGAUAUAUUAUCGUAUUGCGAGUAUGAAUAACAAAACUAACAAGACCGGGGGAAGUAACAUCGCUCGCAAUACUUAACAGAUCAUAACCUAAAAUUUCUUGUGUGUGCGGCAACAAAAAAGCCGGCAAUAAAAGGGUAAUAAAAGGCGGGAGUACUAGAGGGUCAUUGGCAGUAAUUAAGGGGCAGGUGGCGUUAAUGGUAGCGGUGGCGACGUGACCCACUAUUAGGAACGAGAACAGGAGGGUAGUAAGAUAGCGAAACACGAAGAAUGUAAGUAGGUGUGUCAGUAAGGUGAGAAAAGACGGAUAAUGACACAACAGGCGACUCAGGAACAUAAGGAAACGCGAAGAGGGAGAACAGUUGUAAUAUUUGUUGUAAUGUUGUAAUAUAAAGGUAAGGAAACGCAAGGAAGGAGGACAGGAGGGCAGUAAGAGAGCGAAACACGAAGAAUGUAAGUAGGUGUGUCAGUAAGGUGAGAAAAGACGGAUAAUGACACAACAGGAGACUCAGGAACAUAACGAAACGAGAAGAAUGAGAACAUUUGUAAUAUUAAGCUAAGGAAACGCAAAUAAGGAGAACAGGAAGACCAAUAAGAUAAUGAAACACGAAGAUUGAGAAAAAAAUGUGUCAGUAAGGUAAAAAAAAGACGAAUAAUGACAGAACAGGAGACUCAAGAACAUAACGAAACGAGAAGAAUGAGAACAGUUGUAAUAUUAAGCUAAGGAAACGCAAAUAAGGAGAACAGGAAGACCAAUAAGAUAAUGAAACACGAAGAUUGAGAGUAGGUGUGUCAGAAGGUAGGAAAUCACGAAUAAUGAGAAAAAGUGAGUUAAUAAAGAAAAUAAAAGAAGCGGAAACAAACUUAUAAGCAUCGCUGAUAAUGAUAAAGCAAGAUUAGUAUAUGUAAAUGAACGCUGCUAAAUAAUGCCGUUUGUAGUAAUCUUCCACCAGUAACAAUACGUAUAAGAGCAAUAGCAGUGCCAGUAACGGUUAAAGAAGUGCAGGUAACGUUGAUGCAGCAUAAAAGAGUACAUUUGUGUCAGAGUAAAAUGAAAGGAAAAUAAUUUAAGCGAUACGUAGAAAGGAAGACUGGAGAACUUAAGAUCGAGACAGCAUAUUCUUUCCUAUUAACCAACACGAAAGUAAGAACAGUGCCAAUAACAUCAGUAACUUUACAAUUACAAAAAAGUAGGAAAAGAAAAAGGUCUAGGUAGUAAAAAAAAAAUGGUACAGGAAUAGGAAGUAGAAAAAGAACACUGACUACUUAAGACCCAGAGUUCAUGAAGUUUACUUUCUAACCAAUAGUAAAGUAAAAAAUAAUGCCAAUAAGAUCAAUAACCGUGCAAGUGCCAAGACACCUUUCCAUCCGAAUUGACAAUCCUCUGCCUUGUCAUACUAUUUUAUUUUUUAGGUGCUGAGUGAGGAAAGGAAAGUAAGAUAAACAAACCUGGUUACAUGAUGAAUAAGAGAGAAAAAUUGUUGGAAUAGAGAAAAUAAUGUACUCAAUCGUGGGUCAACUUUACUUACUUUCUUUUUUUUCCUUGUUUUUGCCCUUGAGUUGUUUCCGUGGCUGUGAAAAAAAAAAAAAACCGGUGAUGCAGUGCCGCCAAGACGGACCUCACUGCCGGGAACAGUUAGGGAGGAACGGGGGAGGGAAAGGGGGGGGGGGGUAUCAGCGGUGUCACAAUAGGGAACAAUGGUGGACGAAACAGUUUAUUCAGGUCACGCAAUAAAAAAUAAAAAGAUGUUAAUUUUUUGUGUGCUGUGUACCCGGUUUGUUUUGGAAGCGCCAGUCACCGCGUCCAUUGUUGUGAGGCCGUUGAGUGAGGAAAGGAAAGUAAAAUAAACAUACCUGGUUACAUGAAUAAGAGAGAAAAUUUGUUGGAAUAGAGAAAAUAAUGUGCUCAAUCGUGGGUCAACCUUACUUUCUUUUUAAUUUAACUUUGAUUCAUCGUUGAGUGAGAAAAGGAAGGUAAAAUAAGCAGGCCUGGUUACAUAAAUGAAUAAAUUGAAAGGGAGAGUUGAAAUAAUGUACUCAGUCGUGGGUCAACUUUAUAUUCUUUCUGAUUUAGCUUUGAUUCGUCGUUGAGUGAGAAAAGGAAAGUAGAGUAAACAAAACUAGUUACAUAAAUGAAUAAAUUAAAAAGCAGAGUUGAAAUAAUGUACAUAAUCGUGGGUUAACUUAAUAUUCUUUCUGAUUUAGCUUUGAUUCGUCGUUGAGUGAGAAAAGGAAAUUAAAUAAAGUAGAACAUACAAACCUGAUUACAUGUAUGAAUAAAAUAAUAAAGAAAUAGUUGAAAUAAUAUACUCAAUCGUGAAUCAGCUUUAUUUUCUUCGUGAUUCAGCGUUAAUCUUUUUUUUUUUUAGUGUUCCGUGAAGCCUAUUCGUCGUUGUUAGUGUUGUUGUUUUGUGUUAUUUUCUCCCUCGCUUCCGUGUUCCGCUGUGUUGCAUAACGAUGAGGCGGCGGAAUUCCUGACGAGCCAACCUUAUCGACGGCCUCCACGCGCCCGCUGCCGUUUGUCAUAUCUCUCCAUCUUAGGUUAUAACAAUGACGGUGACAAUAAUAACAAUAACAAUAACAGCAAUAACAAUAUACGUAAUGGUCAUGUUCCUUUUCCUUUUUCUUGUGCCAUUUAUUUUCUUCCUCUUCUUCUUCUUCUUCUUCUUCUUCUUAUUAUUAUUAUUAUUAUUAUUAUUAUUAUUAUUAUUAUUAUUAUUAUUAUUAUUAUUAUUAUUAUCAGUAUUUUUAUCAUCAUCAUUAUCAUUAUUUUUAAGUGGUAUAGGUGAGGGAAAUACGAGUACCACCAACAACAGGAACCCAGCAAUAGUAUCAACAACAAAAACAAAAGUAGUCAUUACCAGAGCAGCAGAAUUUGUAGCAGUGGCAGUAGUAGCAGUAGCAGCAGUGUUAGUAGCAGAAGUAGCAGCAGCAGCAGUAGGCCCGUCCAGGUAACGCCUCUUUUCUGCAUAUUCAUGACACCCCGACCGUCCCUCCCUCAGGUGUGUUUACCCGAGUACCUCACCUGUCUGAGCCGCCCACACGCCGCCCACGACCCGCUUGUGUGUGUGUGUGUGUGUGUGUGUGUGUGUGUGUGUGUGUGUGUGUGUGUGUGUGUGAAUUAGCAGAACUAUAACUAUAAGAAAAAAACGUAUUUCCUCAUAGAAUAUUACAGUGAAGUUAUUUAAAGGGAAUAAAAGAAAGGAAAAAUGGAAAGUGAAAAGCAAAAACUAAAAAAAAAAAAGCAAACAAAGGUAAGGCAAAAAAAUAAUAAAAGAGAAGGAAGAAAAUAGAAGAGAGAGGGAAAGAAAAGAGCAAGGGAGGAAGGCAGGUGAGGUAAUCUGGCAGGUAUGGAGGGAGGAAAGGCAAGGCAAGGCAGGAUCAGAGAGAGAAGAAUAGAGGGAGGGACUGGAAGCAAUUCAAUUAUAUAUACUCGAGCAGAUUCCGGCCAGAUCGCAUUCGGCCGACGUUAAUAGGGAACGAGAAGGCUGCCGUGAUGAUAUUCGUGGGAUCCGAGCAGUUUUAUGGCGAUUUAAUGCGUUUCAACCCCUUUUCACGGCUGGCUAAUGGCAUUCUCACAUCAGGCAUCAAUUUUUGGGGUAUCUAUUAAAUCUGGCGUGAGUAAUUAACCUUAAUUUCGAGUUUCAGGUGAUGCUGAUGAUGGUGGUGGUGGUAGUGGUGGUUGUGGUGGUUGUGGUGGUUAUGGUGGUGGUGAUAGUGGUUGUGGUGGUGAUGGUGGUGGUGUGUGAAGGUUAUGUAAAGAAGCCCUCGGAUACUGCUUGUGUGUGUGUGUGUGUUUGUGUGUGUGUGUGUGUGUGUGUGUGUGUGUGUGUGUGUGUGUGAGUGUGUACAUUUUAUAA